UUUGCCUUCAAAGGAAAGAAGUGUAGAGAAGGAAAGAAGUUCUUAAAUACCUUUAUAUUUUCCCUGCAUGUUUAGAAUCCCUUUAACAGCCAUCCAAGUUAAAUUUUGCCAACCUCUCUGCUUUCCCUCUUUCUGACAUUUGGCUGUUGCAAUCAUACAGACCCAAACAUUUCCUAUUCCUAACAAGAUUCAAUAUGAAAUAUAGGCAUAUGAAUGUACAGCAGUAAUUGAUCACAUGUUUAUUGUUUUUGAUGCACUUCUUAAAUUCAGUGCUACUGCCAUUUCUGUAGCAACACCAAUCGAGCCAGAAUAUUUUAAUUUAGCCAUUAAUCUCAUUAAAUCAAAUAAUUCAAAUACAGCGGAUCAACAGCUCUGUACAUGUGGCUGCUGUGCAGGUGCAUAGCAAGGGGGGAACAGAGGGGGUGGCCCACUCCCAACUCCGUCUUUUGGGGGGCAGCACGAGCGGUGGUGGCACCUCGUUAUGUAGUGUGCAUGCGCAGCGUCACUACGUAGUGAUGCCCUGCCCCCAGGUGCGCACCAUGUUUGCCGCUCUGGGUGCCCGAGCGGAUUCCUACGCCAGUGUUGCUGUGUACAUCAAUGAUGUACAGUAUAUGUUGCAGCCAAAUGGUACAUCAUCUACUUUGCAUGCAGGUGGUCCCAUGGUGAAUUCAUGUCAUCUCCAGGUAGGACUGGGAAAGAAUGCUGUCUGAAAUCCAGGAAAGCUGCUGCCAGUCAGUGUAGACAAGACUGACCUAGAUAGACUACUUGACUCCAUAUAAGAAGGGGUGAUGCAUUUACAUGGGCUGAGGUUUCCAAGCGAGGGUUCUCCCAAGCCACUGAAGCCAUUUCAACAAAAUACCAUAUUUUCAUUAUUCUAUCCACUCAAAUGCAAGGGAGAAGACAGUAAUCCCACCCUUGAAAAUAAGUGCUGGCCUGCUCAUUCGAAGUGAGCAGGCAGUCAUUCCAGAAAUGAAGAAAUGGCAAUACAUGGAUUGAUUUUGUGACCAAGACACACAUGGUAUGGAGUUAAGGGGAAUGAUAACUCUGGAUAUGUGCAGCAUAAAAUCUGUACCAGGGCAGUCCCAAAGUGUAAAUAUAAUAAUAAUGCAUUUGUGUAUGACUGAGUUAGCUAUGUAUGCUUUUUUAUGGAUUAUCAUUAGUACUGGUAUGUUGCAACAGAAAUGAUGGAAGUCAGCUUUAUUUUGAGACUGAUGAAAUUCAACAGUUGCUUGGCAUCAUUAAAAACUGAAAUCUCCACGUAUGUGUGCAAUUAAAAUUAGAGACCAUACUGUGGUGAGAAAGAGUGAUAAAGAUAGCAAGUCAGGAAAAUUGUUCUCGAUAAUAACAAAUUACCCAUAAGCAGUUCAAAGAGAGAUUAAUGAAUGCUUGUUGCCAGUCUGAAAAACAUCAAUGCUGGUAGCAAUUGCAAAGGUUCAUGUCCUCUUCACUGACUUCCUCCUCCACUAGGUGAACCGUAAAAAGAACAAGACCAAGUGUUGCUAAUCAGUAGUGCGUAACUCCAGCCUCAGCAAUCUGUCACCAAACACAGGAUAAAAAUAUAGCCCUGUCAUCAUGCAGGGGUCACAAAGAAAUGAAGUAAGUGUUCUGAUUCAAACAGUGACUCAAACAAGUAGAGCUAUUUGUUUGUUUAUUUAUUUGUACAGCUGCCUGGCUAGCUUCUUCCGAUGAGUUAAGAAGAUAAGACGAGCCCUGCUGGAUUAGACCAAAGGUCCAUGCUGUUCAUUAUCCUGCUUUCACGGUGACCACCAGAUACCUAUGGGAAGCCUUCAAAUUGGACAUGAGUGCAACAAUACAUGCAAUUCCCAGCAAAUGGUAUACUGAGAUGUGAUGCUCUUCUUCCAUCUCUUUGCCAAUAUAUUGGUACCUCAGGACCUGGGAGAGCUCCCAGGGAUGACACACCAAUCACAACUCAUUCUCCAUUACCUGCUUGCCUUCACUAUGAUUCCAUGUUCCUGUGUGUGUAAAUGAUGGAAAGAGCCAGACACACAAAUGCAUCCAUGGGAUUCCCUUCCACCCUGGCUGAGGAUUGCAAUUUGUGGUAGAAAACGAACUGCUAAGUGCCUGCAAAAAGUCCA